rnacentral:rRNA from 1 species
GACGAAUGCUGGCGGCGUGCUUAACACAUGCAAGUCGAACGGAAAGGCCCAGCUUGCUGGGUACUCGAGUGGCGAACGGGUGAGUAACACGUGGGUGAUCUGCCCUGCACUCUGGGAUAAGCCUGGGAAACUGGGUCUAAUACCGGAUAUGAUCAACUGUCGCAUGGUGGUUGGUGGAAAGCUUUUGCGGUGUGGGAUGGGCCCGCGGCCUAUCAGCUUGUUGGUGGGUUAAUGGCCUACCAAGGCGACGACGGGUAGCCGACCUGAGAGGGUGAUCGGCCACACUGGGACCGAGACACGGCCCAGACUCCUACGGGAGGCAGCAGUGGGGAGUAUUGCACAAUGGGCGCAAGCCUGAUGCAGCGACGCCGCGUGAGGGAUGACGGCCUUCGGGUUGUAAACCUCUUUCACCAGGGACGAAGCGUGAGUGACGGUACCUGGAGAAGAAGCACCGGCCAACUACGUGCCAGCCGCCGCAGUAA